rnacentral:misc_RNA from 1 species
AAGUCGUAACAAGGUCUCCGUUGGUGAACCAGCGGAGGGAUCAUUACAGAGUUCCAAAACUCCCAACCAUUGUGAACCUACCUCACCGUUGCUUCGGCGGGUGGCCCUCUCCAGGGCCGCGCCGGCCCCCCUCGGGGGUCUGGCAACCCGUCAGAGGACCAAAACUCUUAGUACCUAUAGGCCUCUCUGAGUAACUUAUACAAUAAGUCAAAACUUUCAACAACGGAUCUCUUGGUUCUG